GACGUAGGGUCCAAGCGUUGUCCGGAUUUACUGGGCGUAAAGAGCGCGCAGGCGGUCGUUCAAGUCGCGUGUGAAAGCCCCCGGCUCAACUGGGGAGGGUCACGCGAUACUGAUCGACUCGAAGGCAGGAGAGGGUAGUGGAAUUCCCGGUGUAGUGGUGAAAUGCGUAGAUAUCGGGAGGAACACCAGUGGCGAAGGCGACUACCUGGCCUGUUCUUGACGCUGAGGCGCGAAGGCUAGGGGAGCAAACGGG
rnacentral:rRNA from 1 species